AUGAUUGAAAGCUGUCAUGAUAAGGGAUGUUUGUUUUUAUCCAGGCACACAGAGAGGAGCAAGGGAAUGAGCACCACCUUCCUCCUCAGUACUGUCCCCGGACCAGGUGGACCUGCUGCUGGUACUCAGGGUGUCCCAUCACAGUCUCGGAAGGUGAACCCUGUGCUACCUCAGAGGCUGUUGCAGCACCCUCAACCUGAAGACCCCUCAGGGCUGGCAACCACACACCGUGGGCCUGUGGCACCGGCCCUGUAUGCCCUGAUCGUCUUUCCUGCCAUGACCUCUGCAGCCUCCACCACCAUCACUGCUUCUCCUGACACAAUCACCACUAUCACCCACCAUGCCAUCUCCAUCACCGCUGCUGCGCCUGCUGCUGCGCCUGCUGCUGCGCCUGCUGCUGCGCCUGCUGCUGCUGCUGCGCCUGCUGCUGCUGCUGCUGCUGCUGCUGCUGCUGCUGCUGCUGCUGCUGCUGCUGCUCCUGCUGCACCUGCUGCUGCUCUUGCUGCCGCCGCCGCCGUUCCUCGCUCCACAGCCUGGCAGAGGAGGAUUAGAGAGGAGGAGCUGCGUCGUCAGCGAGAAAGGGGUCUCCCUCUUAAAGAGAGGAAGAUCUUUACACACUUCCGCUGUGGCCGCUGUGGUCAGCCCAAGACCAAACAGUAUGGCCACAGCCGCUACAGGGGAGAGUUCUUCUGUGCCACAUCGGAGGGUCGCUCUGUGGAUGACUGGUUGAAAGAGAAGAGACGACUGGACCCGAAAUACCAGCAGCCGCGCAGGUGAAGGACAAUACACAACAAUGCACGUGACUCCUUUUAAUCUUUUUUCUAAUUGCAGGACACACCAACUUGACGUGCAGCAUAGUGUCACUUGUAUAUAGUUUGUGUAAUUUUGCUUGUAUAUAUUUUGUGUGUAUUUUGAAGUAUUUUGUUACAAAUUUGUAAUGUACAUAGUUUAAUUUUACUGUUGACAAUGUUCUCAAGCUAAUUCAAUUGAUGUUUUUGUUACAUAAAAAAUCUUUUCAAAGGAUCAGUUCAGUGUUGACAUCUUUUCUUUGUAAUUACAUAAUGUAUAAUUUAUAAAUCUGAUGUGAACCAGGUUAAUGAUGAGGAUCGAACAUGAUCGUAUUGAUCCAUCAUGCCACAUUUAGUGAGAGAGUAGAACAUUUGGUCAGAUCUGUGUGUCCCUCACUGACAGCUGUGUGACAGCUGUCAGACACUCGCCCAAUCACCAGCUCCCGAUCACUUCACCUUGACACUCGCCCAAUCACCAGCUCCCGAUCACUUCACCUUUAUUCCAGGGAGACGAUCGUUCAGGGUAAAAGGCCCAUCUCCUGCCGACGGCCCCAGGUGGUCUAGGCGGCUCACAAUACACAUUGUAUAUCCUGUAGGUGUGACUCUGUGGGGGGCAGGUAGGAGCCCCAUAAAGGCUGCCUGGAUGAGGCUGUUGGUCUCGUCAAGGUCUAGUCUCAGGCUGCAACAACUUUGGGGAAGUCCACAAAAAAGAAAUGGAAAACUUUGGAAGGUGAGGUCUAACUGGAUUCUUUAUCUUCUUCUUUUUGCUAUCAACUGUAUAUGUGUUCAGCCCUUCAUUAAUCAUUACAUGUUGAACUAUUAUUUACAGAACAGCACCUUUGAUAAAACACAUAGAGAGAAAAAGGAGCCAGGAGUAUACAGAAGGUUUGUAUUUUUUUACUGCACUCAAUAUUAACUUGUAUUUUUCAUUACAUUACAGCAAUGAUGUGAUUGACAUGCUUCUGUUUUUACUUAGAAACAUCAAGGGUAUCUUCUGAGGACGAAUCCCUUGCCUGGCACUCCCCAUGGAGAUCAUCAUCCUCCUCACCCGCCACAAGCACUGCCAACAUUGCUUUUCCAGUGGCUGCCACCACCGCUGCCACCACCGCUGCUUCACUACAAGAAUAUGCUGCAACUACUGAUUCACCAAAGGGUGCUGGGGCCGCAGCCGCCGCAGCCGCCGCAGCCGCCGACGCUGCCGCCACCGCUGCGUCAACUGCUGCUGCCGCUGUGUCAGACAUGGCCACUGCCGCCACCAAAGCUGUGGCAGCAGUCGCCGCCGCUGCUACAACCGCUGUCUCGGCAGCCGCCACCGCCGCUGCCUCAGCUGCCUCGGCAGCCGCCACCGCCGCUGCCUCGGCUCCCUCGGCUGCCUCGGCUGCUGCCGCCACCGCUGCUUCCUGUACCCGCCACAGUGGUCCAUCACGGAUGACUGUAUGGAGAAGAAGAAGGCAAAACAGGAGGAUGCAGAAGCCUUAAAAAAGGAGGAAGGGCGCCAACAACAGCGCCAAGAGGAGCCCCAAGAAGAGCUCCAAGAGGAGCCCCAAGAGGAGCCCCAAGAAGAGCUCCAAGACGAGCCCCAAGAGGAGCCCCAAGAGGAGCCCCAAGAAGAGCGCCAAAACCAAUGCCGACAUUGUGGACUUCCCAGGACCCUGUUGAAGGGGCAUGCCUUUUACAAAGGGCAUUUCUACUGCACACACACUGCAGGACCUGGGGCAAAGUCUGCCAAUGAGUGGCUGAAGGAGCAGGAAGAAAAGGAAGCACCAAAAAUUCCCAGGACAACUGCCUUCACCAUGAGGAAAAAGUGGGAGAAUGAGCACAGUUUCAAAUCUCCAAAAAACAGAAGGAAGCCGAAUAAACUUAGAAUCUGCCAGCUGUGUGGCCUGCCA
ensembl:lncRNA